ensembl:lncRNA
GCUUGUCUUGCUUGCUUAAGUCAGUUCUUUUUAAAUAAUCAGUGUUCAUUCAUUGUUUUCCUCUCAUGAUGUAACCUUAUUUUGUGUAAACAUAUUUCCCCGUGGCCCUAGCAGUGGUAACAGGCCCUUUGCUACUACCAGGAGGAUAGUAAUAUCCUUUGGUAUUUCAAAGCAUAUUUCAAUAGAUUUCCUGCACCCUAAAAAUAGUUUCAUAAAUAGCUCCUCUGUGGCCUGUAGGGAGACAACAUUAAGGUUAGUGUUCCGUAGAAAGUCCCGCCACCCUCCCCCCAGGCUUCCUGACGUCAGGAGGAAAACCCUCAGGCCCUGCUCUGUUCUGCCCGACAACAACCAGAAGCCAAUCAUCGCAGCAGAAAAGCCCACCAAGCCCCGGCCUAUCCUGAACCGACACAUAACCCUCUGAGCUACCUCAGCAGUCUGCCCAGAGACGGACAGCCUAUCCUAAGCUGCUACGACACUCCGCCAGCCCUGUGUCCAUGCCCCGUCCACCCCCCUAUAAAAACCCUCCUACCCCAGCUAUGCAGUCGCAGCCAGCCCAGAUCUCCUUCCUUUCCUGGCCUGCCCGCUGGUCCCAAUAAACCUGAACUCAGCUUCCAACUCUCGAGCUGUUACUUGGGAUCGGGUACAAGACAGGGGUCUACAAGGGGGUCGUACAUUUGGUGCCGAAACCCGGGAGCGAGGGUCACUAGCCCCCCUAGCGACCCCCUCCCUCCAGCGACCUCUCCAGCCCUCCUCCAAUUCGGCCUCAGCACUCCGGACCAGUUCUUGCAGCGCCAUUUCCAGGAGCUCACCCGGAUCACUAUCAACCAGAUGCUGCUACAACCAGUCCCCAGCCAUCCAGAUUGCGCGCUUCCUGCCGUCAGGAGGAAAACCCUCAGGCGCUGCUCUGUUCUGCCCGACAACAACCAGGAGCCAAUCAUCGCAGCAGAAAAGCCCGCCAAGCCUCGGCCUAUCCUGAACCGACACAUAACCCUCUGAGCUACCUCAGCAGUCUGCCCAGAGACGGACAGCCUAUCCUAAGCUCCUAUGACAUUCCGCCAGCCCUGUGUCCACACCCCGUCCACCCCCCUAUAAGAACCCUCCUACCCCAGCUACGCAGUCACAGCCAGCCCAGAUCUCCUUCCUUUCCUGGCCUGCCCGCUGGUCCCAAUAAACCUGAACUCGGCUUCCAACUCUCGAGCUGUUACUUGGGAUCGGGUACCGGGCAGGGGUCUACAAGGGGGUCGCACAGUUAGGAAGAGGGACAUCCCAUUUCCUGAGCCUUUGGACACUCUUCAGCAGUGUGCCAGGGAAGUUCCAAAUUUUACCUUAUCCAACUACGGGUCGUAUUGAGUCUAGGCCUUAAGUAACUCAGUACAUUUAUUAUUCCUCUCCACGGUGUUCAAGCCAACCCGCUAAAUCUUAAAUACUGUGGCAAGAAAUGUGUCCCAUUGAGCCUUCUAUUUUGUGCAACUUGCCGAAUCGUUCUUG